GGUAAUGUAUACAUUACCUAUAUUAUAGGUGAAAUUUACUGAUAAUAUUGGUAAUAUUUACUUAUAUUAUUAGUAAACAUAUGUAAACAUUAUUAGUAAAAAUGGAACUUAAUCGAACCCAUCAGAAUCAAUAAGUUCGUUAUAGCAAAACAUAACAGGACUCGUUUUUUGAGUAAGAUCCACCCUUUGCCUCCUGUUGUUAAACUUCAUGUAUUGCGGUGCUGCAUAUUAUCCCACCCUUUGCUGCCAGUUCCGGUGCUACGAUUCCUGCUCGUAGCGAAGGCUAUCGCUGUUUUUCGAUCCUGCUGCUGUGACAUCCUGACCAAAUAUUUUUAUUCAACUGAACAUUAAGCAUGCUGCGGAAAACCGUUCGUUUCGCCAUAUUGAUCAGCAGCUGUAAGAUACCACGAAGGAAACCAACAAUAAUACUUGAUUUGACGGGUCUGGAGCCGAGUCUGGAGCAUCCCCAGAAGCAGGUUAGAGAAGGUUAGCAGGCCAUUGGAGGAACAAUCCACAGCGGAGCUAUCGAUAAAUCGCUUGGGGAACGUGGACAUUUGCGUGAUUCGGACUAAAAAUUGAAAGCAAAGGCUGCUAUUUCCGAGGCUAUUCGUUUUCGUACCGAGGGCUGAUUUUCUUUGCUACUAUGCGAUGCCAAAGAAGCUUCCACACCGAUGAUCUUGAUUCAACGAUCUUUGCACCUGUGGUGACGGAACGGGGCUUUCACAGUACUUCCAGCAUCCUUACUGCUCUCACAAGUUUCGGGAUUAUAUACCGUCAAAUCUCUACACGGCUACUGCGGAGCAGCCUAGCAGGUGACCCGGUACCUGCUGCGGUUAACGCUUACUGACCCGAAGCUGCUACUGAUCAUCCAGCCAGUUCCGGUUUCGUCGAUCGCGUAAUUUUAAUAUUUCGGUAAUCAGUUUCGCUAAUUGCCCAACAUCCAACAACGAAUAGGUUGAUAAAGACUGUAUAUUGUAAAUAUAUUUAUAUAGUAGAAUUAAAUUAAGAAGGCAUGCCAAAAAGCUGCCAGCUGUUGAUGAAUAUAAAAAAAAUGAUAAUAAUGUGCACUAUAGGCUUAUUUGUUUCGUUUUUUUUUGCGAAAUAUUGAUUUGUUUAUAUAUUUGCCCGGUAUGGUACAUAAUCAACAGAGCGAGAUGCAUCACUCCAGCAUGCUGAUGAUCUCAGUAACGGAGAUUUACCGGGUGCAACUGCGACUGUCUCCAACAGAACAAGCAAGCUCUCGUCAAAGCUGUCCAUAUGCAUGUGUACCAGAGCCAAGAAUAGCAGUAUCCAUUCUUUUAGGUAAU